AUGUUAGCAAUUUUGUUGGUGAUUGUCUCCAAAUGUGCUCUCUGAGUUACGUCAAAUCUGGCGACAAUAAAAUUGCUGUCGCUGAGACCAAAGUAGUAUAAGUAUUGAGUAUUAAUAUAUAUAGAGAGAGUAUUAGUAUGUACAGAAAUUGAGUGUGUAAGAAAACAACUGUAAAAGAAAAGUAAAGGCAAUGAAUUAUUAAUUUAAAAAUACCUUAAAAAAAGUGUGUUCGAAAUUACAGUUGUGAAUUGUCAAGACAAAGAAAAAAAUUGAGGAGAACAAGGACAACUGCGACGCGUAAGAAAGGAUCACCACGAGGCAAGUGAUAGAGGCUUUGUGGGAUGCUUCCGACCCCUUAAGGCUAUCUCAAAGCCAAUUUAUGAAGAAGUUCCGUAUUUCCAAAGCGGCCGACUGUCAAUGUUGCUCAAAGCACGUUAUCAUCUAAGGAUAGAAAGAAAGCUUUGUGCAGAGGAUUUUCGAUCAUCAAAUGAAAACGAUGGCAGUCAAUUUUAAAUUUUUGGAAUCUUUCCAUGGUACGCCUGUGUGCAGGCACUCCGAUCAGAGAACUUAUCUAAAAAACCGCUGGAUUGAGCAUAGUAGCAAUACUUGGCUGCUCGGUUAGCGGCAAAAAAAAUUAAAGCGUCAAAAAAUUACAGAGGAUACCUUCUAUAGUCUAAGCAUUGGUGUGUAUAAAGUCGCUGGCGUAUUCUACAGGAAGUGCGGAAGAGCUUCUAUAGCCGAAAAAGCUGGGUGAAGUCGCAUAAAUUUGUGCAGCGCUGCACAACAUUUGCGUCCACUAUAAAGUCGAAGGAGAUUAUUUGAAUAUUCCAGCACCGGCGACCUAUGGAAAUGAUAGUUUUGAAUUUGAGCACCUUUUAUAUACUAGUGUUUACAUCUCUCUUAGUUAUUAACGCAUUGUAAAGAAAAAUUUGACUGGAAAGUUGGCGACCAAUAAUUUUAUGUAUAGUGAGUCACAUUAAGUGAAAUUAAUGUUGGCUUUUUUUAAUACCAGGAAGAAUACAAAGAAAAAACAGCGUAUUAUUAAAAAUUAAUAAAAAUAAUUUGGUGGGGUAUCCAUCUUGCUUAACGUCGUUUACACGUUUUGGCAAAUUUUGUAUAAUUUUUCUUGUGUGGACAAUAGGGAUCUUACUCUAUUCUUCUUAUAGCCUGUUAUUUAGGUCUUGGACGAAAGGGAUUGCGUGUUUUGCCGCAUGACUGUCGAAUUCAGCGCACAUAUUUUCAAUGGGGUUCAUGCCUGGUGAUUUGCGGAAGAGGAUGAGGCAUUUUGGGACAAUUAUAUAAGAGCCAUUCUUGAACUAAAUGGGAAUUGCUUGAAGUCGCUAUCUUGGGUGAAUUGGGGUGUUUCCAAUAUACUAAGUUUGUCAGCUUUUUCUUUCAAAUUUUCCUUCAAUGUGCUUAAAUAAUCCUGUUAGUUUACAAUGCCAUACAUGAACACUAAUUUUUCGACUCCAUUUACCAAUGCAUA